UUCCAGACUCCUACGGGAGGCAGCAGUGGGGGAUAUUGCACAAUGGGGGGAACCCUGAUGCAGCGACGCCGCGUGGGUGAAGGAGCGUUUCGGCGCGUAAAGCCCUAUCGGCAGGGAAGAAGGAGGACGGUACCUGACUAAGAAGCCCCGGCUAACUACGUGCCAGCAGCCGCGGUAAUACGUAGGGGGCAAGCGUUAUCCGGAUUUACUGGGUGUAAAGGGAGCGUAGACGGUGAAGCAAGUCUGAAGUGAAAGGCGGGGGCUCAACCCCCGGACUGCUUUGGAAACUGUUUGACUGGAGUGCAGGAGAGGUAAGUGGAAUUCCUAGUGUAGCGGUGAAAUGCGUAGAUAUUAGGAGGAACACCAGUGGCGAAGGCGGCUUACUGGACUGUAACUGACGUUGAGGCUCGAAAGCGUGGGGAGCAAACAGGAUUAGAUACCCUUGUA
rnacentral:rRNA from 1 species